rnacentral:lncRNA from 1 species
AUAUACCGAGGUACGACUUGAUCGAGGUACGAGGUGAUGAAGAUACAUUUCCUUCAUAUUUUUGUAUGCUUUGUUGUGCUGAUGAUUUUGCUGGUGAGAAUUGCAAUUGUGAUGUCAUGCUAUCUUGAAACAUAAGCUGACAAUUAAAAAGAUAUUGAUUAGUAUGAAUAAUAGGGAAGUUAGGCCUUAAUUAUGAUGCUAUUUUGAUAAAGAGCUCAUAAAAUCUCCGAACCUUGUUCAUAUAUUCGUCCGAACUGUGAGUGUUCUAGUGAAAAUGAAGAAAUCCCCUACUAAAGGAUAUCGAUAAGCAAUUCACAAAGUAAACAAGGCUGAUAGUGUAUGUUGUUUCUUAAAUAUGUAGUGUAUAUUUUAUAUUUUGUAGUUGCUUUUUGAAGGAUAAUUCAUUGUUCACCUAUGUAGUGUGUAUCUGGAUUCAAUUCAUGGUUGUGUGUCUUCCAAUUUACAUGCAUCCAGAUAUAUUAAUAUUAUAGGAGCCGUACACCCGAGUGGGUGUUGACCUUGGUCAAUACUUUGCUACAUGAGUUGGUUAUGCCUUUUUUUGGACUCAGGUGUUCUAUACUACAAAUUGAACCUUAACUCUAGUUUAGAACAGUUUCAAUUUCAAUAAUGAUGGAAAGGGGGGAAAAGAUAUUUGAGUUUGGGGUUUUAUGCACCACACCUUUCAUCCUCUUUCUUUUACACAACUUUGUUUUUAGUUUUUACUAAUAGGAAGAAAAGGAAAAAAGAUAAUAAAAGGUAAAUCAACUAAAUAUUUAGUGGGAUUAUUCAAAAAAAAAUUAUGAGAUCGACUCUAUCAAAUAAAUGAUGAAAUUUAAUAGUAUUUCAAUGGCAAGACAAUUGAGAUAUAUAAGUCUAAGUUAGAAAAUUAAAUUAAAAUAAAUAAAUUAUCAAAUUAAAACUUAAAAUCAUUAACUUUUCUCUUGGCAAUUAAACUAUGAAGUUCUUGGAUGAAGUGUUCUCGCGUUUUCUUGGCCAAUUGUCAAGCUCCUCAUUACUACUAACUUUUCUUGAAAGCAUCUUCUCUUUGGUGUAAACCUCCAGCUCUUGCUCCAAUUUUGAUUCUUUGAGUUCUCUUUGAGCUAUUUUUGUUUCCAUCAGUAUUUCCUUCUCGCUGGCCUUGAGAGCUUCAAUCCAUGCCUCAGCUGCUGCUACUUUUUAUCAGCAAUUUCUUCUACUGAGGCUGCAUGAUUUGUUAGAUACUCAUACUCAAAUUUUGAGAUAGUGAUCAUGGAACUAUGCUGUGUUGUUAAAGCUCUUUCUCUCAUGGUACUCUCAGUAAGAGUUUUCAGCUUCCCUAAGGCUACAGCUUCAGAUGCUUUGGCUACCACAAACAGUCAAAAGAUCUGCUGCUUGGCAACAAACACUGGCAGCAAGUGCUGGUAACAUGUCUUUGUCACCAAGGUUUGCUAAAGUAUUACAACAUGAACUUUCAGAAUCCAACCACCUUGUGACGUGUUUGAAGAGUCUAGUUGUUCGAAUUUGUUCCACUAUGUCAGCCUGAAAUUUGAAAGCUCUUAAACAUUAUGAUUAAUCAUUUAUUGUAUUUUCUUCAAUGAGAUGAGGUCCCUAAUUUUGCAAAUAACACACAUUAAAAGAAAAAAUGUAGUGUCAAAACCUGGAUUGGUGAAACAUCAACCAUUUCCAUUUAAUUAGGAGAGCAUUGUUGAGGACCUUAAUGUCUUUGAUCCCCAAACCUCCCAAAUCUCUAGAGGCAGACACCUGUCUCCAAGCUACCAAAGCUAUCUUCUUCCCUUCAAAGCUACCACCCCAAAGAAAUUUCCUUUAAAUGGCAGUUAGCCUAUUAAUCAGUGUUGUAGGGGCCCUGAAAAAAAGACAAAUUGAACACAGGCAAUGCUGUUAGGACAACAUUGAUUAGAGUAAUUCUGCCAGCCAUCGAAAUGCUUCUCUAGUUCGAUUUAUUCAACCUAGCCUCUAAUUUUCUGAUUAUAGAUUCCCACACCACCUUUCUUCUUGGAUUAACUCCAAUUGGCAGCCCUAGGUAGCAGAAAGGAAAAUGAAGCAGGGCAUAGUUUAAGUAAUUUUGUCAGUUUGUAGCGAUUAGAGUAAUUCUGUCGGUUUGUAAUGGUGUUAGUAUAUGUCAGGUAAUAUACCAGAGAUAUAUAAGUGCCUUCAUUUCUGGUAUAACCACAAACAGAUCAUAAAAAAUGAAAACCUAUGUAGUAAAUAUAUAUGUUUAUAGUUGAAAUGGCUUAGGUAUUCUGUAAUGUCCAUGAUAGGGACUAUGUGCAUAAAGGAAGAAAUAACAUAAAAAGAUAAAUUCGGCUACAAUGCUUAGUGAUAAAGUAGAAGGAUAGGAAUUGGAAAUGAACUUAGCAUAGUUGGCAGUAGAAACUUCAAUUUGUGAUUAACUCGAUGGUGGAGUUUUGAGGCAUAAGUUAGAACAAUUACACAUAAUAUGCUGAACAAUAUUAAGCUAUUUAAAUUUAAUAAAUAAUAGUUUUAAAGAGGAAACAAUCAUUAGUAUGUGCAAAUAGGUGGAGAUGGUGGUGGUUGGCGAUGACCUGGACAAUAUGGCAACAGAGGAAUAAGUUAGUUCUAGUGUUCCUUUUGACAGCAACAAAGUCAUGGAUGACGCAGCUUUCUUAAUCUGGACUUGGCUGAGAAAUUUAGAGAAGGAUUUCUCCAUUCAUUUUAAUCAGUGGUCUAGCAAUCUUAGACCUCGGGAAUCUCUGUUUGAGUGAUUUGAAUUUUCUUUGCGCUCUCUGUCUGUCCUUGUCCCAAACAACCCCUUCAACCACCUGAUGGCUCUACCCAUUGGGUACAUGAGGGAAAUGCAAAUGCUACUACUACUUGGGUCUUUGAAUAAUAUUAGUGCAAGUGGGAACAUUGAAGAAGUGAAGCCUACCGAAGAAAAACCCAGUCACAUACACAGUUUUUCAAGACACAAGAAAAACGCCUAGUGGAAAUAUGCAUUACAUGACAAAAAAACAUGCAUCUGGAGGAGGCAUGGUGAGCAAAAUAAAAACAACAUUAUAAUAAUGGAAUAUAAAAAUUAAAAGAGAGCUACAUUAUGGUGUUGGGAUUCACAUUGCAAACUAAUUAAUUAACAAAAGUAAAAGGAUGGAGUACCUUGGUAGAAUCAAAUUCAAAAGUCGAUGAGAAGAGAAGAGCCCCAUAGUGAAAUCUGUAUCUUCAUCUGUCCUCUAGAGCGACGUAUCCUCAAAAAGAAAGAUACCUCAGUGUCCCAAAACAUCCGAGACACUCGUGUCUCGUGAAGGCAUUCCCUAACUUCCUCUGCGUUAUGCAACUGUUUUACCCUCCUUUGUUGAAUUCUUAGUUUAACUCCUAGCCAAUGAAUGAAACCAGUGUCAUUCUAUAUUUUUCUCAGCUUUCAAUAGGCCAUGUUCUUCACUCAUAAAAAGAAACCGAAUAAUAAUGCAUGAAGCCCUGUUGAAGCUGAGCCAAUAAAAAGAUAGCUUUUAGUUCAAUUAAUGUUGUUAUUUUCCUCACCCAACAACUACCUAUGUUGUUCUCUGCAACCCUUUGCUUUUUCUUUAUUUCACCCUUUUUUCUCUUUCAUUGUUUCGUUUUACUGUUUCCUCAAUUAUUUGUGUACUAAUUGAAGCUCCCCCUUUUUUUUUUCUGUCGUUUCUCUGCAACUUAGAAAUCAUAGGGUCCUCUCUCUAUUCUCUCUACCAAUAUCAUAUUAGUAAGUAGUGACGUAAUUUUGAUGACAUGACAAAUACUCAUUCGAUCAAAACAUUUCUUAAAGUUUAUCAAUAUGACCAAGUUGGUCAAGUUAGUAGAGUAAAUUGAUGAAAUGACCAACUUGAUUUAACAAAAACAUUUUAUAGAAACAAAUAAAACUUAGAAGAAGACACUAAACCAAAAAGUAUUUAUUUAUUUUAGCAACAAUAAUUUAACUUGAGUUUAAUAAAACAAAAAAACAAUUGGGUAAGUGAUUUCAUGAUUUUAAAUUUGUUAGACUUGAAUAAGAAAUACUAGUCUUAAAAAAAUCAGAAGUCCCAAUUUAAGUAACUAGGUUUAUAGAAUGUUUAGUAGUCACAUUACUGAAUUGUAAUUUUUUUUUAUAAAAAAAGUAGUGUGCAGUUUAUUUAUUUUUUAGUUAUAUAGUCGAGUCUGGAAAACAUGCAUUCUUCAUCAUGGGGAGUCUAAUUAGGUGCUCUUUUAAUGGCAGACACUAACAUUGAAUGAAGUAUGGUUCAUGGGAAAGAAAAAUUCUUGGAAGAUACAUGAUUGCUCUUGCUGGUCGCUCAUACUAAAGUAGUAUCAUUAUUAUACUAAGCAAAGAAAGUAACAGCUUAAGAAAAAUAAUUAAUACGAGCACAACAAUAGCCUUUUAAUUAAAACUAAGCCGUUUGAAGCUAGGUUACAUUAUAUCACCCCCUUUAAUAUCUACCAAAGUACAAAAUUGUGUCAUAACUAACUUGAACGAGGCUUUGGUAUGGGCAUCCCAUCGUCUAAGACAGUACUGUUGAGCCAUACUACUUGGUUGGUAUCCAAGAUGGACCCGGUCAAGUACAUUUUUGAGAAGCCCGCUCUUACGGGGCGGAUCGCUUAGUGGAAGGUUCUGCUAUCUAAGUUUGACAUUGUCUAUGUCGCCUAAAAGGAAAUAAAGGGGAGCACCUUGGCGGAUUAUUUGGCUUAGUAGCCUCUCAACGACUAUCAGCUGAUGCAUCUGGAGUUUCCAGAUGAAGACAUCAUGGCCAUGUUCGGAGAAAAGUUGGAGGAUGAGAACCGGGAUAAGUGGAUCGUGUGGUUCGACUGCGCGUCCAAUGCCCUAAGCCAUGGGGUUGGGGCGGCUUUGGUCUCUCCUGACAAUCAAUACAUUCCUUUCACGGCCAGAUUGGGCUUCGAUUGCACGAACAAAUUGACUUCAACGUCAAUUUGCUCAAAGUAUACAGAGAUUCAGCCUUGGUGAUCCAUCAAUUGAAGGGAGAAUAGGAUACUAGGGAUCACAAGUUGAUACCCUAUCAGGCAUACAUCAAGAAAUUGACCAAGUUCUUCGAUGAUGUCUCAUUCCAUCAUGUUCCCAGAGAAGAAAAUCAGAUGGUUGAUGCGUUAGCCACCCUGGCAUCCAUGUUUCAACUAACCCCACACGGAGACCUCCCAUUCAUCAAGUUCAAAUGUCGUGGCAAGCCCGCGCAUUGCUGCUUAAUAGAGGAGGAGCAAUAUGGUAAGUCGUGGUAUUCCGACAUCAAGUGGUACGUAGAACCAUAAGGAAUACCCACACGGAGCUUCUGACAACGACAAGAGGACUUGCAGAGAUUGGCAGCUGGUUUCUUUUUAAGCGAAGGUAUCUUGUACAAGCGAAAUCAUGAUAUGGUUUUGCUCUGAUGCGUGGACGCUAAAAAAGCCGCGUGAAUGCUUGUAGAUAUGCAUGAAGGGUCCUUUGGGAUGCAUGCCAAUGGGCAUGCCAUGGCCAGAAAAAUUCUAAGGGUAGGCUAUUACUGGCUCACCAUGGAAAGCGACUGUUGCAUCCAUGUGAGAAAAUGCCACAAGUGCCAGCAUUCAGUGACAACGUCAACGCUCCGCCCAUGCCCUUGAAUGUUUUGGCGGCGCCAUGGCCCUUCUCUAUAUGGGGAAUAUAUGUAAUUGGAGUCGUCGAGCCCAGGGCUUCGAACGGACAUCGCUUCAUUGAGGUUGCAAUCGACUACUUCACCAAAUGGGCGGAAGCUGCUUCAUACUCCAUUGUGACGAGGAGUGUGGUGGCCAGGUUCAUCAAGAGAGAGAUAAUUUGCCGAUACGGGUUGCCCAGGAAGAUUAUCACAGAAAAUGCCACCAAUCUGAACAAAAAAAUGAUGAAAGAAAUGUGUGAGGAUUUCAAGAUUCAACACCAUAAUUCCACUCUUUAUAGGCCCAAGAUGAAUGGGGCGGUGGAGGAUGCCAAUAAGAACAGCAAGAAGAUAGUGCAGAAAAUGAUCGUGACAUACAAGGAUUGGCACGAGAUGCUCCCUUUCAUACUACAUGGCUACCGAACCUCGGUGCACACGUCAACCGGGGCAACGCCAUUUUCAUUGGUAUACGGCAUGGAAGCCAUACUACCGUUUGAAGUAGAGGUCCCCUCUUUGAGGAUUCUGGCAGAGUUCGGAUUGAAGCAUGCUUCGAUUAGCUCAAUCUCAUAGAAGGCAAGCGGUUGGCAGCUAUGAGCCAUAGGCGCUUGUAUCAGAGGCGGAUGAAGAAUGCUUUCGACAAGAAGGUACGUCCGCGCAAAUUCAACGUAAGGGAUCUCUUCUUGAAGAAAGUAUCUCAGGCCCUAAAGGACAAUAGGGGAAAGUGGGCUCCAAACUACCAGGGACCUUUCAUCAUAAAGAAAGCAUUCUCAGGAGGAGCACUGGUGCUUGCCAGCAUGGACGAUGAAGAGUUUCCUUCACCCGUGAACGCCGAUAUCGUCAAACGAUAUUGUGCUUAGCACUUGGGGGAGCUAGGAGAGUCAAUACAUGAUUGUACUCUGAGGCUCCCUAAAGUUUUCUAGAUCUCUGUAAACUUCGAUCGCAACAUCUAAUAAACAUCGAGUUGAUAGCUUGCAUUUCAAACCCUUGUGUUGUGUCUGUUAUUGCUUCAAAAUGCAUACUCUCGAUCUAUAGGGGUGCCACGAGCGUUUAAGUAAAAUUGAACAUAAUAAACAUUCGUUUAAAUUGUUGCACUUGAACUGCCUAAUCAUGAGCGUGCAUGCAUAUGCAUUUUUGUCAUCCCGUGAGUCGGAGGAUAAGUAGAGAUUUGGUCAAUACCACGCCAAAUUCAUAGCAAAAGUAAGUGGUAGCGUAGUCAUAUUUUACUGUGUAGUGCCAUUUCCUGUUUUCAAAGACUUAGGGGCAUAUACGAGCAGGUGCUAGGCCCGUGAUCAAUAGAUCAUCAUCCCGCGUCCGGUUCAAGACGUUAAAGAAGCGCUACUAGGAGGCAGCCUAGUAUCUUUUAAAAUUCAGCUUGUUAUUUAUUCGCCUAUGUUUCUUAAGUCAUAGUUUGAAUAUGCCUAGUUUGCUCAUAAUCCUAGGAAUUAAAAUAAACAAGCACAAGCUUGGAAGGUAGUCAAAUUUUGCAAAGAGGUUUUUGCAAAAAAAAAAAAUGCAAAGUUAGCUCGCCUGGGCGAGCACCCUCUGCACGAAAAUAUAAAAAAAGGGUCGGGGUGAAGCUUCAUUCACCCUAAAACUCCCCCCAACACUCAAGAACCAAGGGGCUCACGGAACGACAUGAUUUUGCAGCCCCCAAGCCACCAUUUUUGUGCUUUGCUUCCAUUUUUGGUAUCCUUGUUCACUCCAUACAAGUAAGUGCACCAUCUAUUUGCUCUUUGGCUCACCAUUGUUGCGUUUUGAUGCUUUAUUUGUUCAUUCUUGCUCAAAUUCAUGAGGCAUUUAUCUUUGAAUUUGUGCUUGUUUUUGUUGAGAUAGGGAGUUGUAGACAAUAGCCUUAGGCCAAGGUUGUGUUCUAAAAUGAUUGGGCAUGUCACAUUGCCCCCAUUCCCCACUUUUUCAUGCCUAAAGGUGCGCCCAUCAAGUGCUCGGUGAAAUGCCUCAAUGGCAUUGAGCACAAUUCUAAUUUUUUGUUUAUGGAAUUAACUUGGGCAUAGGUGGCUGUCGUUGUGGAGUUUAAGGACAGUUUUUAGUAGCUAGAAUAGGUGCUCGAAUGUGUGCUUAGGCCUAAAGACUCAAGCUUGGAUUUUUUAAUAUAAGAAAGCAUAAAGAUGAGAGCAUAUUAGGUGAAGCUCCCCUUUAGGCCAGCAUUUGGUAAGCGCUGCACCAUGAUGGUUUUCUUUGCGCCUAAAUGAUGUGGAACAUGUGUUGAACACUUGUUGUGUAUGUGUAUAUAGAAUAGGUAGCUAUGCGUGUUGCCAAUAUGCAUGUGUGUUCAAAAAUGACACCAAAAUGCCUCCUAAAAUGGUAGCAUAUGGCAUGAAAUGAUUUUGCAAAGUGUGAAUGAGUAGUGAAGAGUUUUUUUUUCUACCGUUCCCAUGAAUGUGUGAUGUGAAAUUUCUUCUCAAAUAAAAUUAAAUAUGUGUAUAGCAUGAAAUUGGCUUUCAAGUGUGCAUAUAUGUACGAAUAUAAUGUGAACGAAGUAGCAAAACAAUGCUACCCAACCUUGUUAAUUUAGGUAGCAAAAAUACCUUGUUAAUUUGUAUAUUAAUUCAGGUAGCAAAAUACUUUGUUAAUUUAGGUAGCAAAAAUACCUUGUUAAUUUGUAUGUAAUUUGGGUAGCAAAAAUACUUGAAUACGCAUGAAAUGUAAUUUGAGUAGCAAGUACUUGAAUACGCAUGAAAUGUAAUUUAGGUAGCAAAAGUACUUGAAUAUGCAUGAAAUGUAAUUUUGGUAGCAAAAUACCUUGAAUAUGCAUGUAUGCAUUUUUUUGGUAGCAAAGAUACCUUGGAUAUCCGUGUAUGUGAUUUUUUUAGGUAGCCAAAAUACCUUGAGUAUGUGUGUAUGUAAAUUUAGGGGAAAAAAUGCUUUGAAUAUGCAUAUGUGUGAAUAUAGGUAGCAAAAAUACGUUGAAUGUGCCUGUAUGUUGGUGUAGGUAGCAAAAUAUCUUACACACGUGUAUGUUCGUAAAUGUAUCUCCUCAAGGAAAUGUGCAUAUUUAAGUUUUCUCUAAAUUUGCAUUUGGUAUGUGGUUGGAAAGAGUUGUAUGCCAUUUUUGCUUGAUUUUGCUUUUAAAUGGCAUUCCCUUGUAAACUGACUUUCCAAUGUUUGCUUUCGCAGGAGAUGGCCCCAAGAAAACUUCCAACAAAGAGAUCCAGGAAGGACACCACCGGAGAAGGCUCCAGCGUAGCCCCACAAGCUGACAUGGACUUUGAUCGGCUCCGAUUCUGGAGCGCCGAACAUCAGCAACGCUUUGAGACCAUCAAGGGGUGGUCAUUCCUCAGAGAAAGACGGGUCCAGCUGAGGGAUGAUGAGUUCCCUGACUUUCAGGG